rnacentral:lncRNA from 1 species
CGCCACCACCCAGACCUGCUCAGCACCUGAAACAUUCACAGCCGUGGAGAGAACUGUUCACUGCUACCAUCCAUACUUCUGGGCCCCUUCAGCAGCACAGUGACAAGGAAGAGGGAAAUCAACUUGGAAAAGAGGGGACCUCUGACCCAAGAGUUUGGUCAAUGCAUAUGUUGGCAGCCAACUGCACACAGCACCAAAUACGAACUUCAAAGAGAAGAAAGCCACAUUUGCAAGAAAGCUCAUGCACAGACUGUAAAUAUUUCAGAGCAGAUUGUGUCUCUGCAGAUUAAGUAAUUUGUGAAAGUCUGAACCUCUGCCAAAAUUUUAAGACCUUGACCUUUACA